rfam:Oryza barthii chromosome 5, whole genome shotgun sequence.
UCGGCAGCAGUUUAGUGGUGAGAAUUCCACGUUGUGGUCGUGGAGACCUGGGCUCGAAUCCCAGCAGACGAG